GAUGAACGCUGACAGAAUGCUUAACACAUGCAAGUCAACUUGAACUUCGGUUUGGGUGGCGGACGGGUGAGUAACGCGUAAAGAACUUGCCUCACAGAUAGGGACAACAUUUGGAAACGAAUGCUAAUACCUGAUAUUAUGAUUAUAUGGCAUCGUAUAAUUAUGAAAGCUAUAUGCGCUGUGAGAGAGCUUUGCGUCCCAUUAGCUAGUUGGAGAGGUAACGGCUCACCAAGGCGAUGAUGGGUAGCCGGCCUGAGAGGGUGAUCGGCCACAAGGGGACUGAGACACGGCCCGUACUCCUACGGGAGGCAGCAGUGGGGAAUAUUGGACAAUGGACCAAGAGUCUGAUCCAGCAAUUCUGUGUGCACGAUGAAGUUUUUCGGAAUGUAAAGUGCUUUCAGUUGGGAAGAAAAAAAUGACGGUACCAACAGAAGAAGUGACGGCUAAAUACGUG
rnacentral:rRNA from 1 species